rnacentral:rRNA from 1 species
CCUACGGGUGGCAGCAGUGAGGAAUAUUGGUCAAUGGCCGAAAGGCUGAACCAGCCAAGUCGCGUGAAGGAUGAAGGCCCUAUGGUUUGUAAACUUCUUUUAUAGGGGAAUAAAUUUUUCAACGUGUGGGAUUUUGUAUGUACCCUAUGAAUAAGGAUCGGCUUACUCCGUGCCAGCAGCCGCGGUAAUACGGAGGAUCCGAGCGUUAUCCGGAUUUAUUGGGUUUAAAGGGGGCGUAGGUUGUUUUUUAAGUCAGUGGUGAAAGUUUGUGGCUCAACCGUAAAAUUGCCGUUGAUACUGGAAAACUUGAGUACGUUAGAGGUAGGCGGAAUGCGUGGUGUAGCGGUGAAAUGCGUAGAUAUAACGAAGAACUCCGAUUGCGAAGGCAGCUUACUGGGCCAAAACUGACACUGAGGCACGAAAGCGUGGGGAUCAAACAGGAUUAGAUACCCGAGUAGUC